GACGAACGCUGGCGGCGUGCCUAAUACAUGCAAGUUGAGCGCUGAAGGUUGGUACUUGUACCAACUGGAUGAGCAGCGAACGGGUGAGUAACGCGUGGGGAAUCUGCCUUUGAGCGUGGGACAACAUUUGGAAACGAAUGCUAAUACCGCAUAAAAACUUUAAACACAAGUUUUAAGUUUGAAAGAUGCAAUUGCAUCACUCAAAGAUGAUCCCGCGUUGUAUUAGCUAGUUGGUGAGGUAAAGGCUCACCAAGGCGAUGAUACAUAGCCGACCUGAGAGGGUGAUCGGCCACAUUGGGACUGAGACACGGCCCAAACUCCUACGGGAGGCAGCAGUAGGGAAUCUUCGGCAAUGGACGAAAGUCUGACCGAGCAACGCCGCGUGAGUGAAGAAGGUUUUCGGAUCGUAGAACUCUGUUGGUAGAGAAGAACGUUGGUGAGAGUGGAAAGCUCAUCAAGUGACGGUAACUACCCAGAAAGGGACGGCUAACUACGUG
rnacentral:rRNA from 1 species